rnacentral:tRNA from 1 species
GGGCCCGUAGCUCAGCCUGGCUGGAGCGUCCGGCUGAUAACCGGAAGGUCCUGGGUUCAAGUCCCAGCGGGCCCA